GACGAACGCUGGCGGCGUGCUUAACACAUGCAAGUCGAACGGAAAGGCCUCUUUCGGGGGGUACUCGAGUGGCGAACGGGUGAGUAACACGUGAGUAACCUGCCCUUGACUUUGGGAUAACUUCAGGAAACUGGGGCUAAUACCGGAUAGGAGCUCCUGCUGCAUGGUGGGGGUUGGAAAGUUUCGGCGGUUGGGGAUGGACUCGCGGCUUAUCAGCUUGUUGGUGGGGUAGUGGCUUACCAAGGCUUUGACGGGUAGCCGGCCUGAGAGGGUGACCGGCCACAUUGGGACUGAGAUACGGCCCAGACGCCUACGGGAGGCAGCAGUGGGGAAUAUUGCUCAAUGGGUGGAAGCCUGAUGCAGCAACGCCGUGUGCGGGAGGACGGCCUUCGGGUUGGAAACCGCUUUCGCUCAUGACGAAGCUUUGUGUGACGGUAGUGGGUAAAGAAGCACCGGCUAACUACGUG
rnacentral:rRNA from 1 species